CUACGGGGUGCAGCAGUGGGGAAUAUUGCACAAUGGGGGGAACCCUGAUGCAGCAACGCCGCGUGGAGGAUGACGCAUUUCGGUGUGUAAACUCCUUUUAUAUGUCAAGAAAAUGACGGUAGCAUAUGAAUAAGCGCCGGCUAACUCCGUGCCAGCAGCCGCGGUAAUACGGAGGGCGCAAGCGUUACUCGGAAUCACUGGGCGUAAAGGACGCGUAGGCGGGUUGAAAAGUCAGGUGUGAAAGCCUACAGCUUAACUGUAGAACUGCACUUGAAACUUCUAAUAUAGAGUAUGGGAGGGGGAGAUGGAAUUAGUGGUGUAGGGGUAAAAUCCGUAGAUAUCACUAGGAAUACCUAAAGCGAAGGCGAUCUCCUGGAACAUUACUGACGCUAAGGCGUGAAAGCGUGGGGAGCAAACAGGAUUAGAUACCCGAGUAGUC
rnacentral:rRNA from 1 species